rnacentral:lncRNA from 8 species
GUCCUUUCAUCGCCACACAACAAGCAUUGUAGUCCAUUCCCCUGGGAUAGGAGACGUUUUGUUUUUGUUCUCUUUUCACACCAGCACUCCUUUUUGACACAGAGACUCCUCGCUCUUCUCUCCCGCUGCACUGCAGCCCUUUUCAAACUGGGAAGCUCCAGGUCAGUUUCCCUUGCCAAGUUUUACGGCCUGCCAUGUUGACUAUUCUGCUCAGCUAUUUAAAAAAUGUUGAAUAUCAACAAUGGCUUUCACUGGUGCAUUGUCAACUUUUGUAUGAAGCAAUCUUGGCUGAAUGAGAUGGGUCCCAGAGCAGGGAGGGCUCGGCUGUAGCGUGCACAGAGACACCACAGGCGCCUGCCUGGUUCUCCCUCUCUUGCUCUGCUGCAGGUGGGAUCGAGGAGGCAGGAGCAGCCGCCCCUCUAGUCCCUGUCUCAGCCCAGCCGGUUGUGUCUGCAUGGGGCUGGGCAUUCCACCCACUCGUCAGUCCUCGCCGCGAGCCAAUCCUCAUCCCAAGGCCCCAUCCCACCGGACCUGUCGUCUGGGAGCCACUGAACGUGUGACACCUCACACAGGGAUCGGAGAGCAGGAGCCCCGGAGGCCAGUCAGAGCUGGGUAUGAAGGACAGGCCCUCUGUCUUAAUGACUGA